AGAAAAUAUUUACAGCUAGGAAAACUUUUUGGUAGUAUAUAAACAUCUUGUCUGCCGAGCGCUCUGCUGUGUGUUGGACAGCUUUUCAGUCAAAAUGAACAGUCAGCUAUCAGAAGAAUCGUCGGCACCCCAAAUACACGAAAUAUAGGCAAAAUACAAUUUUACGUACACAGUGUGAUUAUGUUUCAAUAGUAUAGGCCACAUAAUGUAGCAUAACCUUUGCACCAUAGCAAGAUCCUUAACCACCCAGUAAGGAUUAGGUACAGACACUUUUCUGCAAGUUUCAGCUGUAACUCAGAAUUAACGCGUUCCCUGCAAGUUCAGACUUUGUCAACAAGUCAGACCUAACUGCAAUAGGGAGGUCAGCUGAAGAAACCUAAUAUGGAAGAUCCCAGAGAAGUUAAAGGGUUCUCAGGUCCACGAAAGCAGAGAAGAUGCUUCCAGAUGCCAGUCCAGGGUCCUGCUUUUUCUUCUGUCCUUAUUCUGGUUUAACAGAGAUGAUUACUUUUCUCCGUAAAUACAUUGCAUCUCUACAAGUCAACUUCAAGUCAGACCAAGAAGUAAGAAUUCUCACACUUUUUCAGUUAGUAGGUGUCUAAGAGUAUUUCAGUACAGAAGUGGAAGACUUUAUGCUAUAGUUUUCUGACAACUGACAUAGUAAGCAGAUGCUUGAACACUAUCACAUGAAAUGUAACAUCCUCCACAGAUGUUCUGUCCAUUCUGCUUUCUUAUUGGUAAUAUGCCCUCAUUAAAAGCAAGAAUUUCUUACAAUAUGGGCAUCAGUCAUGCCAGUUACAAUUACCUUUUGUUAGAAUUUACAGCAGGUACAUAGGUGUGAUUCACCUGGGCAAAGGUAGGAGGCCUGCAUCUGACUCAGCAUCCUCUGACCUUUAUAAAGGAAACAAACUCGUGCUUUUUGAAGAGAUUCAUCUACUCUUAAUGCAUAUAUCUAGUACUAGAUAAAAUUUGCAAGGAAGUUUAAAAGGAACAUGCUGUCAUUUAAAUUUUGUGUCUAAUCCACAGAAGGAAUGCCAUAAUGGGGUUCUGCUUUUGUACUUAAAAAAAAUUAGGAAUGUGAAAAAUCAGUGCAAAUUGACAGUUACAAGCAGAAAUAAAGGCAUAAAGGAUCAAUUGCUGAUACACAGCCACCCUUUCGAUUUUUUUAAGGCUUGCAUCAAAAAAAAAAAAAAAAACAAGCAUUCAGAUUCUGUUUUCUCACAUUAAGAAAUAUUGUAAAACAUCCACAGCUGAAAUAACUUCAACCAGGAUAGGUUCUAAUAAAAAAAAACAAAAAACAGAAAUCUUCAUCAGCAUGUGCAUACACAUUACCCACUCCCACCAAAUGUUUUCAACCAAAUAAACACAUAUUGUAAGCAAGCUCUGUGAAAAGAGACUUCCUUUUACAGUGCUACCACUAAUCCCAGAGCUACAUAAAGAUCAUCUUCAGGAAAUGGAGUUUACAAUGGACAUUAAUGAAGAGCUGAGAAAUGAUACAGAACAUAACACUACGAUCUACACACAAGCAAAGCAGCAGUGAGAAUUAUUGCAAAUACAACGCUACAGGCAAGUAAUUCUAAAGGCAGAUGAACGUAUAUUACUUGGACAGCUGCAUGUGUGAAAAUGAAAGAAAAGGUUUAAUAGCUACAGACAAGGCAAUCUUCUCUAACUAAAGUAACUCAAAUUUUCUGUUCUAAAGGAAUUUAAGAAGUAGGAACUUCAGGACAAUAAGAAAUAAAAUUGUCAUGAGACAAUAUUGGCUAGCACAAUGCUUGUUUUUUUCCUCUCUGAUCUCACAGCAUGGCUUAAACUAAAGAUAGCAACACACUAAAAAACAAUGGUUGCCUGCAAUUACAAGCCCUUCCAUUUGUUUCUGCAAAUGAGAGACAAGAAGAGAACUUGCAUCGGCUACCCAGCGAAGUAAGAACCAAGUUCCUAGCUUUGUUCCUUUCGCUGAUGGCCAUCCCAGGUGACACCCACCUUCACACACCUCUGUGGCGAAGGAGGGCACACCUCUGUUCCUGCAAACCGGCUGGACCAGAGACGCCCAGCAGGGCCUGACCUGGUGCUGUCACGGGAGUGUAGCGUCAUCUCCUCCUUCCUCCCCACAGACUGUGCACCAGAAAUGGGAAGGAACAAGCGGCAGCUACGUAUUCUUCCUGGGUGAAGUACAAUUGGCUGGCACACAGCAUCACUUUUGGCACGCAGCUUUCAAAUGAAGACCCACAUGGUCCGACAAGGAGCAUCACAGAACUAUAGUGGUUGAGAGGGACCUCUGGGGAUCAUCAAGUCCAGCUCCCCGCUAAAGCAUCCUCCAGGCCAUACAGCCAGCCAGCCAGAGGGCUUCUGCCCACACCCAACAUGCCCCUGCCACAGGUGUUGGCUGCAUGAGGCAACACUUACUGUGAGGGCUGACAGCUGUGCACUGGACUUCCCUAUGAGAUCAUGCAACUUUUCAAUAAUUUUUCUUCAAAACUCAGCAGAACUGAAAAGUACCUCAUUCACUGGAAGAGAUGAGAACUUGCAUCUAGCAAAUAUACAGAUCAGUUUCCAAAGAACUGCUAUUCAUCAUUGCCUUACAAGAUGUGCAGGAUAGAGGAGAUAGCCACAUUUAGCCUCUCUGAAAUGUGUUUGUGAAGCACUGGGAUGCGGCUGUUCCCUCCCCUACUCAGCACCAGCUUCCACCUCCACGUGUCCGCGCAUCUCAACCCAGAGCAAAACCUCUCAACUUUUUGAAACUGAGGUCCAUCUAGUGGAUACAACUCGAUAUUACAGCAGCGAAAUCCCCAGCUGCUUAUUAAAGAUCCAUACCUACAUCCUGAUGAUGCUGGUGGCACUUCCUUCAAGUUCAAAAUCUGGACUCAGUUUGGUUGGCUUCCAGCGGAUAAAUUCCCACCCCCCAGAGGAGAAGUAGAAAUUUUGGAGAAGAAUGAUUGAUUAUUGCCUGAGAGAUCUGAACUGUGUAAAUGAAUUAAAGAUGCAGUUCUGCAAUUUCUUUCCGUUUCCUUCAGCAAACAUUACAGGGAAGAUUCCUGGGGGACUUGAAUGAAUCCUCUUGCUUGUAUGCACUAGAUCUUGCUGCCUAGGAGAUACACAACUGGCAUAUCUAUAGGCAGAGAGUACCCCAAUUGUGUCUAAAAAUAGGAACUCUGUGAAAUACAAAGGGAUAAACUUGAAAUAGUGUGAUUAACAAACAGAUUUUCAAUCAUUUUUACUUAAGAAGAAGAGUUGAGAAUAUCCUGAGUCCUUUGUCAUCUUGACUGCAGUAAACCAUUGAAGUAAUCAUGGACCACAGAACAGGAAAUGAAUCACAGAACUCUUUUCAAAAACAUGAUUUUGAGACUAUUUUAUCAAAAUUAUUCAAAAGUAAAGCUUUUUCCAGCAUCAAAUCAAAAUGUUUUCCUGCUAGAAAUGGGUAUGCUACAGCAUUUCACAUCAUCUGCUCAUGCCAGCAUGGAGGGGUGGCAUUGCUGCUGCCUGUAUGCUGAAGUCAUCUACUCUCCCUGAAGCCUCUCUUCACUCUUACUAGCUGAGUGAGUGAGUAACCGAUAGAUCUUUGUCUCUGGAUCACAGCCAACACCCUGAUCAACCCUCCUAACUCAUCUUGUCUACUUCAGUCAUUUAACAGAAAGGCCGUAACCACAGUGCAACUGGAAUGUGGCUGCAGGUCUUGCUUUGAUUGCCUCUGAGCAUGGAAUGUCCUGCUGUGCAUGCUCUUUUUCUCCUUAUGUACCAAUAUCAGGCUAAUUAAUUUCACAGUAGGCUGUGAUGCCCCUACUGCUUCACAUAAUGAGGAGGGCAGCUUUCCUCUGACCAGUAAUAUCUUUAAAAAAUGUAUAUUUCCACUUUGACAGGACACUUUCUUUCAGUAAGUUUUGUAUGCUUGUUUUAGCAAAGAAGUGCCACUGAAAUAGAAAAGCUAGAGGAAGAAUCUUCAGGCUUACCAACUCAGCAAUUCUGUUUGAAAAAUACAUUCUGAACGAGCUUUAAUUCAAACUGCCUUUUAAGGCCUCUUUAGACAAAAACAGUCAAUGAAACUAUAGUCAAGCUGUCAUCUGGGAAACUCAAAAGCAUAAUAAAUAGUGAGAUGAAUGGUAAGUGACAUGUUGGUGUAUGUUGGUGCAAUGGCUUAAGUUUCUUAUUUGACUAAUUUGAAUUUACUGUGUGCUGUUAUCUUUUUUGUUUGUUUUGAGAGUGAAAGCCAUGGAUGAGUAUAACGAAUUUAUACUCUUUUGAACAUGAUGGAUGGUAAUUUUUGCUAUUAAUACUAAUAUUCAUACUGCACCAAUUCUAUCUCUUGCAUAUAAAAUACAUUAAAAACCUUCCAGCUGUGUACAAUAAUAUUUACAUCUGUUCAGAGAGGUGUAGGCGUGAAGGGAAGGAGUUGUGUUGGUUACUAAAACUGCUAUAAGUGUCACUGUAUGUGUUUCAGAGAAUGUAAUUCCUUACACCUGAUAGAAGAAGUAUUGAAAUCUGCAAGGGCUCUGAGGAAGGCAGUUCCAUUUUUAUCUGCAGAAAGUUCUGUCUUCUGUGGAGACAUGUGGCACCUCCUGUCUUGAGCUCUGGGAGCUCUACCCUCACUAUGGAGAGGCAAAAGCGUCGUGCCAAGCAGGCUUUGUUUCCAGUUCAUUUUCAGUAUGGAGCAUUAAGCAAUCUUCCCAGAGUCAGGGAGUGGUCUCCAGGCACUGCUCAUGACAGCAAGUGAAACAUAAAACAAAACUACUUCUGGCCCUUAUGACCUAUUUUGUUAUUGUUUUGCUACAUAGAUGCUGUUCAGAACAAUGGAAAUCUACCAAGGUUGAACAUUCUGAGAAAAGUGCAGUUAUCUUUAUAAAUAUUGCAAUAUGCCUAUAUGACAGUGUUUUUAUUACACAGCAUAAAUUUUAAAAGUAAUCAAAUCUCCCAGGAGUGCAGUGUCCCACGAAGACGAACAUAAGUUCAUCCCAUAAGACGAACAGAAAACUUAACACAUCCAUUUUAUCUUUACCAUUUUCUCUGUUAUGCCUGUAUGUUAUAAAAUGCAACAAAGCAUAUAAGAGAUCUACUGGUCUCACGUCUGUCCAUGCUGAGGUACAAUGCAGGGAAUCAAGAAUGGAGCAGCUGCCUUAUUUCUAAACCGUAUUGCUUUUAUGGGCUCUUACAUAAACCCUUUUUUCUUCUGACUCCGCAUUUACCAACUCAAGGGUCUAUCUCAUUGUUCCACUAGUGUACUACCUGAAUUCACAGCAAACUAAUAAAAUAUGGCAAUAAAGCUUAUUAGAUAUUGUAUGUGGAACAUAGCUCGGUCCCAAACACUCUCCUGAAAGAACCUCACUCCUCUCAAGAAAAUAUCAAUGCAAGUAAGGUUAUCUGCAGCAAAAGAAAACAACAAACUACUUCAGAAUGGUAGUAUGUAA